rnacentral:tRNA from 1 species
GGGGUUGUGGCUCACUGGUAGAGCGCUUGCCUUGUACAUGUGGGACCCUGGGUUCGAUCCUCAGCACCCCA